GAAAGUUGAUGUAAAAUUACAUGAGUGUUACUAAAACCUUAAGUUCUUAUAUUUUGUAGUAAUAGGCUUAAGGUCUGAAAAUUGUUCACUGCGUUUCUUCAGGUUAAUUCCUGUACCAAUGGUGGGUUUUAAGGAACUUCUCCGAAGACUGAAGGUUCAAGAUCAGAUGACUAAGCAGCAUCAAACCAGAUUAGAUAUCAUAUCUGAAGAUAUUAGUGAGCUACAAAAGAAUCAAACUACAUCUGUAGCCAAAAUUGCACAAUACAAGAGGAAACUCAUGGAUCUUUCCCAUAGAACUUUACAGGUCCUAAUCAAACAGGAAAUUCAAAGGAAGAGUGGUUAUGCCAUUCAGGCUGAUGAAGAGCAGUUGCGAGUUCAGCUGGAUACGAUUCAGGGUGAACUAAAUGCACCUACUCAGUUCAAGGUAACCACUUCUAAGACCAUAAUUCUAAAAUUUGUUUCAGGUGGAUCUGCAGUCAAACAGUUAUGUAAUCUUCAAGCAGGAAUUUUGUAUACUUGUGUUUGUUAUCUCCAAUUAGAACUUCCUUUCUAAAGUAAACUCAGUCAUGGUUCUUUUGGCUAGUAUUAGUGUUUCGAAUAUAAUGUACAGAGAGAGAAAUAGAAAUUUUUAAUAGAUGGUUUUGAAGCCAUCCUUUCAAAAGAAAACAUUCUCUUUUACAGGUCUUCGUUGGCAGUUGUAAUUUGACUCAAUCUUAACUUUUAGGGCCGACUAAAUGAACUGAUGUCUCAAAUCAGGAUGCAGAAUCAUUUUGGAGCAGUCAGAUCUGAAGAAAGGUAUUACAUAGAUGCAGAUCUGUUACGAGAAAUCAAGCAGCAUUUGAAACAACAACAGGAAGGCCUUAGCCAUUUGAUUAGCAUCAUUAAAGAUGAUCUAGAAGAUAUAAAGCUGGUCGAACAUGGAUUGAAUGAAACCAUCCACAUCAGAGGUGGUGUCUUUAGUUGAUAGUUCACAAACUUGUGUAAAGGUUUGUGAAAUGCAUCUUCUUACUGCAUCAGACCUUCCUUAAGAAUGAAACCAACCACAUGGAGGGAAAAAGAAAACAAUUCUCUCUUGGCUUGGUUUUUUGAGAAGUUUACCGACAAAUUACUGUUCAUCAAAUCUGAAAUACAGUCACUUCACAGCUCUUCAAAGAAAACCUUUGAAAGAUUUAUAUCUAAAAGCUGUAUUUACUUUCAAAGGAGAAGUGCAUAAUUACCAAAAUUGUAUGUACUGUUGUACAUUUUUACAACAGCAUUUUCUUAAACAUAAUCUGUGUUUAAUGAUUAUUGUCCAUUGAGCCUGUACUCUGCUUUCCAUACCAAGUAAAUAUGAAAUAAUCUACUUUGCACAUAACAGAAGAAACUAUAAUUACUUGGCUGUUGGAGAUUUGUACUUCAGAGUAUAAAUGUACACCAGUUUUUAUAUUUGUGAACUCAUCUGUGGGAGGAGUAAAGAAAAUCCAAAAGCAUUUAAUGUUUUCUUUUUGUUCUAUAAAGAUUUGAAAAUGUAUUUUUAUAUUAUUUUACUUAUUUGGAAUUUACAGAGCACACCUAAGCAAUUAGGAUAUAACAAAAUUACUUAACCAUUUUUUGCAACCAUUUUGUUUUUUAAGCCUUUUUAUUUCUAAAAAGAUGAAAACUUAUAAAUAAAUUCUUAAUUUGUAAUUACUUUUAUAUAA
rnacentral:sRNA from 1 species